GGUGGAAAAGGGCACUAUACUUUAAGCAGAAUCUGCAGACCAUAGGGGAGGUUAAGCCUUCUCAUGAGCAUCUUGUGUUGGACUGCACUGAUGGAUAAAGAGGGAAGUAGGUCUGUGUUAUGGAGCAGCAGAUCCCUUGGGGGACACUUGCCUCAGGAGACACAACACAGUGCCACUGGAAAAGCCAAGUACCAUCUUCAAGAAUUCCUGAAGUUGCCAAAGAUAAGUCUUCAUCACACAGUGAACAGGCAGUGCUUAAUUCUUCUGCUGAAAUAUUCCUAGACACAUUAGCAUGCCUAAUACUCCGGUUUUGACCUGAAGAUUUCCUAAUUAUACCUGGAUUCUGUGGAAUAUAACCUAGGACCAGAAGUUUUGCAAUAUGAAAGUGCUGGAUUUAAAUAGAUCUGCUGAAAGGUGUUAUGUUUGUACUCCAUUUCAACACAUCUUGAAAACACUGGAAUUCUGCCACUGACUUCACUAGAAACAGAAACUCUCAGUUUGUUGAAGCCUUAUUAUUUUUUCUAGUGUGGCAAGAAUACUGUGAGAAGAGGCAUUUCUAUGAAAUCCAUUGAAAACUCAGUAAAGGGGUGAAAAGGGCUUGCUUGAAUACUUAUGAGGAUUUUAAUUUGUCCAAUCUAUAAUGUAGGGUGCAGCCAGAAUGGCUUCUUGCAGUUCCUGGGAUCUAUGCUCAAAAUCCCACCUAUGGAAAUCAUACUUCUAAUUCCAUUUAUUUAUUAAGUAAACCAUGUAAU